rnacentral:tRNA from 1 species
GUAACCGUAGCUCAGCUGGUGAGAGUGCCGAAGUACAGUUCUGGAGGCCGCGGGUUCAAGUCUCGCGGGCA